GUAUAAGUUUGCUCAUAAAGGUUUGUCAGGGGACCAGAAUUUUCGUCGCUAUAACCGUGCAGACUCUAUAAACGGAGUCGUCAUAGCCGGAUUCUACUGUAUUUCAAACCCAGUUAAACG